UCCAAGUUAAGGGCAUGUUCGAGCUUC
rnacentral:piRNA from 1 species